GAUGAACGCUGGCGGCGUGCCUAACACAUGCAAGUUGAGCGAUCUUCUUCGGAAGAGAGCGGCGGACGGGUGAGUAACGCGUGGGUAACCUACCCUGUACACACGGAUAACAUACCGAAAGGUAUGCUAAUACGAGAUAAUAUAUUUCAUUCGCAUGUUUGAAAUAUCAAAGCUCCGGCGGUACAGGAUGGACCCGCGUCUGAUUAGCUAGUUGGUGAGGUAACGGCUCACCAAGGCGACGAUCAGUAGCCGACCUGAGAGGGUGAUCGGCCACAUUGGGAACUGAGACACGGUCCAAACUCCUACGGGGGGCAGCAGUGAGGAAUAUUGGUCAAUGGGCGUAAGCCUGAACCAGCCAAGUCGCGUGAGGGAUGAAGGUUCUAUGGAUCGUAAACCUCUUUUAUAAGGGAAUAAAGUGCGGGACGUGUCCCGUUUUGUAUGUACCUUAUGAAUAAGGAUCGGGCUAACUCCGUGCCAGCAGCCGCAGUAA
rnacentral:rRNA from 1 species